UAUAAAGUGAGUGUUGUUGUUUCUAUCAGUCAUUCGGGUCUACAGGCGGCUUAUACUAUCAUUCCGGCAAAAAUAUCAAAAUGAGGACACAAGUUAUAUUUCUAUUGGCUUUUUUAAUUGGAUGUACAUAUGCACAGAUGGCAAUGAAUCCAAUGGCAUUAAUGAUGAUGAAAGGAGGAGGAGGUUUUUUCGGCAAAUUUUUGAACAAUCCAUAUACUUUAUGUAAAAUGACGGAAAAUGUAAAAGCUGUUCCAUGUAGUAUGAUGCCACAUAUGUGUAUGAUCCAAUCAAUGAAAACCUAUAAAUUACCCAAUCUUAUGAAGUGUAGUCCAAUGGGAGUUGGUUGUUGCUUAAAAGACGCACGAUCAUUGGCUAUGGCUAAAGUUUUCAGUCGUCGUCGUUAAUCUUCAUGGAAACUGGAAGUGGAAUGAUGUCAUCAUGGUUAGCCGCCUGUAAAAAUAGCCAUAAAAUGUCCAUCACAUGAUCUAUAAUCAUCGUUUUAUUGCAUUGUUCUUGAGAAAGAGACCAGAAAAUCAACAUAAAAUAAGAAUGUCCGAAAAUAAAAUGUCAAAAAUC